rnacentral:rRNA from 1 species
UACGAAGGGGGCUAGCGUUGUUCGGAUUUACUGGGCGUAAAGCGCACGUAGGCGGAUCGUUAAGUCGGGGGUGAAAUCCUGGAGCUCAACUCCAGAACUGCCUUCGAUACUGGCGAUCUUGAGUCCGGAAGAGGUGAGUGGAACUGCGAGUGUAGAGGUGAAAUUCGUAGAUAUUCGCAAGAACACCAGUGGCGAAGGCGGCUCACUGGUCCGGUACUGACGCUGAGGCACGAAAGCGUGGGUAGCAAACAGG